UUUUGUGUGAUGUGGAAGGCAAAGGUAAAUACAACCCUAAAUUUUCACUUUUCUAUCUUCGACCGUUAUUUUUUAAUAGCCAUCUAAAAUUUUCCAUCUUAUAUAUACAAAUCUAUUGCUGUGCGUUAGUCUCGCUAAAACUCGAGAAUGUGUGGACCGAUUUGGCUAAUUUUGAUGUUGAAUUAUUUGUGGAAGUUCAGGGAAGGUUUAUACGGUUUUAUAUUGUCAUUUUAGUAGCCACCAAAAUUUUUACAGCUAUAUGUAUAAAAUGCUCUUUUUACAGUGUUUGUUGCCAUACUCCUCCGAAACGACUUGACCGAUUUUUAUGAAAGUUUGCAAGUGUACUCGACCGGACCGGUAGUAGGUUGUUAUCUAUAUUUCAUACCCGUGCGUCUUAAGGGGGCUUGCCACCCUUAUAUUUAUUUCUAUUUUUUCAGAGAAACUCUUUUUUUUUAAUUUCAUAUGAUGUGGAACGUAAAGAUACAUACAACCCUAAAUUUUCACUUUUCCAGCGCUAACCGUUAUUUUUUAAUGGCCAUUUAAAUAUUUUACAUCUAUAUAAACAAAAGAAAGUCGUGACAGUUACCAACACAUAACUCGAGAACGACUGAAUAUAUUUUUAUGAAAUGUUCCACGUGUAUUUGACCGGACCGAGAAUAGGUUGUUAUGUAUUUUUCAUAUCCGUACGUCGUAACGGGGGCUGCCCCCCUAAAAUAUUUUUUUAUUUUUUUGGUCAAACUGUUUUUUCUUAAUUUUAUGUGAUGUGGAAGGCAAAGGUAAAUACAACCCUAAAUUUUCACUUUUCUAUCUUCGACCGUUAUUUUUUAAUAGCCAUCUAAAGUUUUGCAUCUUAUAUAUAAAAAUCUAUUGCUGUGCGUUAGUCUCGCUAAAACUCGAGAAUGUGUGGACCGAUUUGGCUAAUUUUGAUGUUGAAUUAUUUGUGGAAGUUCAGGGAAGGUUUAUACGGUUUUAUAUUGUCAUUUUAGUAGCCACCAAAAUUUUUACAGCUAUAUGUAUAAAAUGCUCUUUUUACAGUGUUUGUUGCCAUACUCCUCCGAAACGACUUGACCGAUUUUUAUGAAAGUUUGCAAGUGUACUCGACCGGACCGGUAGUAGGUUGUUAUCUAUAUUUCAUACCCGUGCGUCUUAAGGGGGCUUGCCACCCUUAUAUUUAUUUCUAUUUUUUCAGAGAAACUCUUUUUUUUUUAAUUUCAUAUGAUGUGGAACGUAAAGAUACAUACAACCCUAAAUUUUCACUUUUCCAGCGCUAACCGUUAUUUUUUAAUGGCCAUUUAAAUAUUUUACAUCUAUAUAAACAAAAGAAAGUCGUGACAGUUACCAACACAUAACUCGAGAACGACUGAAUAUAUUUUUAUGAAAUGUUCCACGUGUAUUUGACCGGACCGAGAAUAGGUUGUUAUGUAUUUUUCAUAUCCGUACGUCGUAACGGGGGCUGCCCCCCUAAAAUAUUUUUUUAUUUUUUUGGUCAAACUGUUUUUUCUUAAUUUUAUGUGAUGUGGAAGGCAAAGGUAAAUACAACCCUAAAUUUUCACUUUUCUAUCUUCGACCGUUAUUUUUUAAUAGCCAUCUAAAGUUUUGCAUCUUAUAUAUAAAAAUCUAUUGCUGUGCGUUAGUCUCGCUAAAACUCGAGAAUGUGUGGACCGAUUUGGCUAAUUUUGAUGUUGAAUUAUUUGUGGAAGUUCAGGGAAGGUUUAUACGGUUUUAUAUUGUCAUUUUAGUAGCCACCAAAAUUUUUACAGCUAUAUGUAUAAAAUGCUCUUUUUACAGUGUUUGUUGCCAUACUCCUCCGAAACGACUUGACCGAUUUUUAUGAAAGUUUGCAAGUGUACUCGACCGGACCGGUAGUAGGUUGUUAUCUAUAUUUCAUACCCGUGCGUCUUAAGGGGGCUUGCCACCCUUAUAUUUAUUUCUAUUUUUUCAGAGAAACUCUUUUUUUUUUUAAUUUCAUAUGAUGUGGAACGUAAAGAUACA
rnacentral:lncRNA from 1 species